UACGUAGGGUGCAAGCGUUGUCCGGAAUUAUUGGGCGUAAAGAGCUCGUAGGCGGUGUGUCGCGUCGGCCGUGAAAACCUGGGGCUCAACUCUGGGCGUGCGGUCGAUACGGGCAUCACUUGAGUUCGGCAGGGGGAGACUGGAAUUCCUGGUGUAGCGGUGGAAUGCGCAGAUAUCAGGAGGAACACCAAUAGCGAAGGCAGCUCGCUGGGACGGUACUGACGCUAAGGCGCGAAAGCGUGGGGAGCGAACGAGG
rnacentral:rRNA from 1 species